UACAGAGGGUGCAAGCGUUGUUCGGAAUUAUUGGGCGUAAAGCGCGUGUAGGCGGCUUGGCAAGUCGGGUGUGAAAGCCCUCAGCUCAACUGAGGAAGUGCGCCCGAAACUGCUGAGCUUGAGUGCCGGAGAGGGUGGCGGAAUUCCCCAAGUAGAGGUGAAAUUCGUAGAUAUCUGGAGGAAUACCGGUGGCGAAGGCGGCAUCCUGGACCGAGAUUGACACUGAUGAGCGAAAGCCAGGGGAGCAAACGGG
rnacentral:rRNA from 1 species